UACGUAGGGGGCAAGCGUUGUCCGGAAUCAUUGGGCGUAAAGCGCGUGUAGGCGGCUCGAUAAGUCUGCUGUGAAAGUCCAGGGCUCAACCCUGGGGAUGCCGGUGGAUACUGUCGAGCUCGAGUCCGGAAGAGGCGAGUGGAAUUCCUGGUGUAGCGGUGAAAUGCGCAGAUAUCAGGAGGAACACCAAUGGCGAAGGCAGCUCGCUGGGACGUGACUGACGCUGAGACGCGAAAGCGUGGGGAGCAAACAGG
rnacentral:rRNA from 1 species